GGGCGCUGCGGUCCACUGGGUCCGCCUCUUCCCGGCAUGGGUUUCUGCCCAGCUCACCCGCUGUCAGCUGGGGUCCUGCUCUGGUGGGAGGAAGAGGCUCAGACGCUUCCCUGCCCUCUCGCCUCAACCACCUCGAGGCAGCGGCUCCCAGGAUGUGCACUUUGACGACUAAAGCUGAGCCGGCGCCGCCACGACCUUGGGCGGGUGGUCGGCCUCUGCCCUGAGCAGGAAGUAGAAAGUCUCAGCAGACCCUUCCUGAGGGCCGAGCAACAGUGUAGUGGCGUAUUCCACAUAGCAAACAGUUUUCUGAAGCUCAGAGGGACACCUUGUAUUGCUGGAUGAUAAAAACAGGAGCAAAGUGAUGAAAUGCUGACAAGGCAACAAUAGAACAUGAGAGAUUCACUGCUGUGUAGGAAGAGAUCUUCAGUGACCAUGUAGCCUGAAGCUCUCAUUUUGUCAUCGAGGGACACCAAAACUCAGAACAGCGGAGGUAACUCUACCUUCCUGUACCUUCAUGCCCGGCUUCUUCUACCAUCC
rnacentral:lncRNA from 1 species